UACGGAGGGGGCAAGCGUUGUUCGGAGUUACUGGGCGUAAAGCGCGCGUAGGCGGUGCGGUAAGUCAGGGGUUAAAGGCUGCAGCUCAACUGCAGUAAGGCCUUUGAUACUAUCGCGCUAGAGUACCAGAGAGGAUGGCGGAAUUCCCUGUGUAGCGGUGAAAUGCGUAGAUAUAGGGAGGAACACCGGUUGCGAAGGCGGCUACCUGGCCGGUAACUGACGCUGAGGUGCGAGAGCGUGGGGAGCAAACAGG
rnacentral:rRNA from 1 species